rnacentral:lncRNA from 1 species
GUGACUUUGGCUCACUGCAAUCUCCACCUCCUGGAUUCAAGCCAUUCUCCUGCCUCAGCCUCCCAAGUAGCUGGGACUACAGCAAAUGCCUGUGUAACACCCAGGCUUUUUACAAGGUAUCUAAAUACUUAAGUAUUGAACGAGACAGGAGGGAGUCUGAUCUUGAAGACAUCUGCAAAGAAGGUGGGACAACAAACAGAGUUCUUCAUUAACUGCGUUUCCGCUGAGCUGAGCAAGUCGGCCACGAAGGGAACAGAACAGCCAUGUGUUUACAUAAGUCAAUCACAGCGUUUUAUUUUUGUUGUUGUUUUUUAAUCUCAAAGCCAUAGUUAAAAUCCCCUCCAGAUUCUACUAACUCAGAAAUAGACCCAAGAAGGUAAAAAAUGUUUUGAUUCUCAACUUUAUUAGCAGUAAAAGUGGUUAUGGAGGGGAAAAAGAAGUUUUAUCCUGAGGUCCCCUUCCUACAUCUCUCAUAGCUCUACCCAUGGUGAAUUGGAAAUGAAGAGCCCCAUGUGAACAGCAAACCUGAUUCUUCCACUUAGUGGCAGGGUGAGAAGCUGCUUCUGAGAGAACAAAGGCCUGUCGGGGCCUGCAGGAGGCCGAACACACCUGCCAGCUUACUGAUGAGAACCUGAAGCAGAGUCAGCCCACAAUGCCUCGGGGGAGGAAACCCAGAAAGGAUUCUAAAGGCUGGGCCACAGCACCAUUAACCCCACAAUAGCCUUACGAUUGUCAGACUCUCCUCCUUUCACUAAUUAAAUAAACAUCUGUUCUUGCCUUGGGGAAGAACAAAGAUGGGGGGUGGGGCUGUGGAGAGACAGAGAGAGAGAGAGAGAGAGUGUGUGUGUGUGUGUGUGUGUGUAAAUACAGCGUCUCUGAAAGAGGAGAACAGAACUCUUCAUUAUUCAAAUGGUAAAGACCAAAAGGGUUUAAAAACUAUCCCCUCUUUAGGUUGAUUUUUUGUAGAGACAGGGUUUUGCCCUGUGGGCCAGGCUGGUCUUGAACUCCUGGGCUCGAGAGAUCUGCCCACCUUGGGGCCUCCCAAGGUGCUGGGAUUCCACACCCGGCCCUGAAAAGACGCUUAACAUUACUAGUCAUCAGGGAAAUGUAACUUAAAAUCACAAUGAGAUGCCAAUACACACACCCACUGAAAG